AACGAACGCUGGCGGCAGGCUUAACACAUGCAAGUCGAACGAGAUCUUCGGAUCUAGUGGCAGACGGGUGAGGAACACGUGGGAACAUCCCUUUCAGUUCGGAAUAACGUUGGGAAACUAACGCUAAUACCGGAUACGUCCUUCGGGAGAAAGAUUUAUCGCUGAAAGAUUGGCCCGCGUCUGAUUAGCUAGUUGGUGAGGUAAUGGCUCACCAAGGCUACGAUCAGUAGCUGAUCUGAGAGGAUGAUCAGCCACAUUGGGACUGAGACACGGCCCAAACUCCUACGGGAGGCAGCAGGGGGGAAUAUUGGACUAUGGGCGCAAGGCUGAUCCAGCCAUGCCGCGUGAGUGAUGAAGGCCUUCGGGUUGUAAAGCUCUUUUAUCCGGGAAGAUAAUGACUGUACCGGAAGAAUAGGCCCCGGCAAACUUCGUGCCAGCCGCCGCAGUAA
rnacentral:rRNA from 1 species